CCUGGAUAAUGAGUGAUGGCUGCAUCUUUAUCAGCUACAGGUUCAGUCUAGAUCUAGUCCUUCCUCUUUCUAGAUAUUUUGCUGAAAAGUUGCUGCUCCAUGAGGGACUGUGUUUGCCAACUCAUCUUGCAUCAGGGAACUCAGGCAACUGAGUCCCAGGCAGUGGAGCAUGGACAGAGAGAUUCACCUACAUCCAGCACCAGCCCACAGAAACAUCCCCAUGGGCCCUCCACUCCGGCUUUGACCCCAUCUGCCUGCUGCUGACUUCUCUGUGUUCUUAGAAGCCCCAUAGUAAAGUCAGAGUCUCCUUCAGGUGGGGGACCCCUGAAAGCCUGCCUGUCAUAGAGUCUCCUAGCCGGUCUCGCUGCUGGUGAGGAACACCCAUUUUGGACAUUAUGUGAGUGAAAAAUGAAACUCCUGCUAUGUGAGGCCCCUGUAAUUUUAGAGUUUUCCAGUUUCCAUUGCUGGUGCCCCUUUCUUAACUGCUAGUGUGGAGACAAUUCCACAAUCUCUGAGAGAGGACCACUACCAGUUAACUGUUGUCAAGAUUUGAAAGUUGGAGUGAAAGGAGAUGGAGCAGGAAAAAGAGCAAGAUCGAAGGUGAAUCUGUCAAGAGAUCUGGCUACAUGAGCACAAGAACACGCUCUUUAAUGUAAUGUGUACAUAGCACCUACUAACAAAUGGGCUGAGGGUCGUUGUCUCUCUUACAAAUGUCACCCAUUUAACCCCACAACAGCCCUGUAGGUACCAGCCCUCAAAUAUCCGAAGCACUGAGGUGAAGCAGCUGACUCAGUGCCCUAGCCAGCAAGUCACACUCAGGAUUUGAGCCUGCCUGCCUGGCCCCAGAUCUCCCUCUCUGGCUUUUCUGCAUUGCUAUUUCAGGGCAGUGGGCCGAUGUGGGAGCCUCUGGCAAGCAGGUGAGGAAUUAUCUGUAAGGCAAUCAAAGGCUUGUCAUCAGGCUGAGGUACACAAAUGUCCAAAGUCCCUCGGGAGGUCAGAAAGGGAGUUUUGCAAUACUCCAGACUCUAUAGAUCCGAUAGCAUUAGGCCUGUGAAAGGAAAACAUCUUGGGCCCCCAAAAUUACUCAGGAAAAUUCAAGCUGGGAACUGCUUAGGGCAAACCUGCCUUUCAUUGUAUUCAAAGUCACUUCUCUGCUCUCUGAGGUAGAUGCAUAUCUGAUUGCCUCCUUUGGAAAGGCUAAUCAGAAACUCAAAAGAAUGCAACAGUUUGUGCAUCACCUGUCUGUGACCUGGAAGCUCCCUCCAGGCUUGGAGUCUUUCUGCCUUUCUGCCUUUGCUUCGAGUUGUCUCGCCUUUCCAGACUAAACCAAGGUAGUUCUUACAUAUAUUGAUUGAUGUCUCAUAUCUCCCUACAAUGUAUAAAACCAAGCUGUGCCCCGACCACCUCAGGCAUGUGUCGUCAGGACCUCCUGAGGCUGUGUCAUGGGCAUGUCUUCAACAUUGGCAAAAUAAACUUCCUAAAUCAACUGA